rnacentral:rRNA from 1 species
UGCUUUACACAUGCAAGUCGAACGGCAGCACGGGGGCAACCCUGGUGGCGAGUGGCGAACGGGUGAGUAAUACAUCGGAACGUGCCCAGUCGUGGGGGAUAACGUAGCGAAAGUUACGCUAAUACCGCAUACGUCCUGAGGGAGAAAGCGGGGGACCGUAAGGCCUCGCGCGAUUGGAGCGGCCGAUAUCGGAUUAGCUAGUUGGUGAGGUAAAGGCUCACCAAGGCGACGAUCCGUAGCUGGUCUGAGAGGACGACCAGCCACACUGGAACUGAGACACGGUCCAGACUCCUACGGGAGGCAGCAGUGGGGAAUUUUGGACAAUGGGCGCAAGCCUGAUCCAGCCAUUCCGCGUGAGUGAAGAAGGCCUUCGGGUUGUAAAGCUC